rnacentral:ncRNA from 17 species
GGGUGUCGCGGCGGCGGAGCGCCGCGACAGGUCUUCAUGGGACGGUCGGGCCGCCUUCC